AUUGAGAGUUUGAUCCUGGCUCAGGACGAACGCUGGCGGCGUGCCUAACACAUGCAAGUCGAGCGAUGAAGUUUCCUUCGGGAAACGGAUUAGCGGCGGACGGGUGAGUAACACGUGGG
rnacentral:rRNA from 1 species